GGAGCACCCUUCGGGGUGUGACUGCGUACCUUUUGUAUAAUGGGUCAGCGACUUAUAUUCUGUAGCAAGGUUAACCGUAUAGGGGAGCCGGAGGGAAACCGAGUCUUAAUUGGGCGUUAAGUUGCAGGGUAUAGACCCGAAACCCGGUGAUCUAGCCAUGGGCAGGUUGAAGGUUGGGUAACACUAACUGGAGGACCGAACCGACUAAUGUUGAAAAAUUAGCGGAUGACCUGUGGCUGGGGGUGAAAGGCCAAUCAAACCGGGAGAUAGCUGGUUCUCCCCGAAAGCUAUUUAGGUAGCGCCUCGUGAAUUCAUCUCCGGGGGUAGAGCACUGUUUCGGCUAGGGGGCCAUCCCGGCUUACCAACCCGAUGCAAACUGCGAAUACCGGAGAAUGUUAUCACGGGAGACACACGGCGGGUGCUAACGUCCGUCGUGAAGAGGGAAACAACCCAGACCGCCAGCUAAGGUCCCAAAGUCAUGGUUAAGUGGGAAACGAUGUGGGAAGGCCCAGACAGCCAGGAUGUUGGCUUAGAAGCAGCCAUCAUUUAAAGAAAGCGUAAUAGCUCACUGGUCGAGUCGGCCUGCGCGGAAGAUGUAACGGGGCUAAACCAUGCACCGAAGCUGCGGCAGCGAACGUAUCACCCAAGACAACUUUACGGAGUUGACGAUUGACGGAGCGAAGCGACGUCAAAGCGUUCAUUAAAGUCGAGUUGGCUUAGGGAUACGUUCGUUGGGUAGGGGAGCGUUCUGUAAGCCUGUGAAGGUGUGUCGUGAGGCAUGCUGGAGGUAUCAGAAGUGCGAAUGCUGACAUAAGUAACGAUAAAGCGGGUGAAAAGCCCGCUCGCCGGAAGACCAAGGGUUCCUGUCCAACGUUAAUCGGGGCAGGGUGAGUCGACCCCUAAGGCGAGGCCGAAAGGCGUAGUCGAUGGGAAACGGGUUAAUAUUCCCGUACUUGGUGUUACUGCGAAGGGGGGACGGAGAAGGCUAUGUUGGCCGGGCGACGGUUGUCCCGGUUUAAGCGUGUAGGUGUGUGUUCCAGGUAAAUCCGGUUCACUUUAACACUGAGGCGUGACGACGAGGCACUACGGUGCUGAAGCAACAAAUGCCCUGCUUCCAGGAAAAGCCUCUAAGCAUCAGGUAACAUCAAAUCGUACCCCAAACCGACACAGGUGGUCAGGUAGAGAAUACCAAGGCGCUUGAGAGAACUCGGGUGAAGGAACUAGGCAAAAUGGUGCCGUAACUUCGGGAGAAGGCACGCUGACACGUAGGUGAAGUGAUUUACUCA
rnacentral:rRNA from 1 species